UUUUUUUUUUUUUUUUUAACCCGGAUUGUUCAUCUGCAAAGAUUCUUUAUUCUUAAUGCUUUAUCUGCUCAUCUCUUUGACUCUGCCUCAGUUUCUUCAUCUGUAAAAUGGGGAUAAUAGUAUCUAACUCAGAGUCAUUGUGGGGAUGAAAUGAAAUAUAAAACUUAUAGGAUAGUGCCUGGCACAUAAUGAGGGCUCAUUAAAUGUUAAUAAUUAUUACUAUUAAAAACAGGUACUGAGCCCUCUGCUGUGCGGGCGGCUGGCGUUCUCAGGAAGUUGUGCGGUGGGAGACAAGCAAGUUUGUCCAGAGGAGCUGGUCUGCUUUGUUUAAAGCGCCCUCUGCUGACCAUCGGCAAGAAGGCCUUGGGCAAGGUGGCGAGUUCACGGUGCAGGAGCCAAGUGCUGAGUGCCAAGGGGAAGGGGGACUUCUGCUGGAUACAGAGCCCAGAGCGCUACUUAUCCCACUCCCAAAAUGUCCGGCUUGGAGUAUUUCUCUUUUUUUUCCCAGCCUGAAAAUGGGUUCCAGAGAUAGCUUCCCCAACAGGGCUCAGCAGUGCUAAGACCAGGACAAGCUGCCAGCCGCAGCUAACCACAGCCUGCUCCCUGGCUGUGAGUUAACAGUAGGAAGGAGAGAAACUACACACCCAGCACGCAGGGCUUCCUGACGGCAAAGCGUGAUGGGGGUGGGGGGUGGACGUGUUGGUUCUUACUUCGAAUGAGGUAAUAAUGGUGGGGGGACUGCCCCAUGUAGAAUGUCAGAUCAGGAAGAAAACAAAUUAUUGGGUCUAUAAGCCCAAUGCACUCAGAAAGUGGUGGUUCAUAACAGCUCGUUUCUUAUAUUGCAAGAUCCUCUCCUGUACCAGUGUCCAAAAUAGAUCAUCACCCCACCUGCAAAUGCACUAACCAUUCACUAUAUCCCUGUGAGAGGAAUAAAAAGAGGACUCCAGUUGAAGCAGGAGAAACUAAAGUUAGACUGCAGGAAGGACGGUCCUGAGAAUAAAGCUAGGUGCAGUCUUGUCCCUCCAGAGUCUGGCAUAGGAAGAAUGCCCCCGGGGCUGUCCACAGAACUGACCCUCUUCUUUAAGGGGGUAGAGUAAGGGGGCUGGGAGACUGGCAGCCAACACCUAAGGAUUCUCUGGGGCAUUCUGGUAGGUCCCAGCUGGGAGGGGAAGGGGAAGAGGGAAGCGGCCACAGCAAAAGACAGGCCUGAGAGUAGACAGAGGUCAGCAAACACUCACCGUGCAGGUCCUCCUCCCGACAUUUGGCUGGAGAGUUCCAGCAGUUUGAUUUGUGGGAAGGGUGAUUGACUCCAGUUCAGCUUUCUCAACACCCUCCCCUCCUUGAUCCCCAAAUACACUCUUUCUUGGGCCUUGUCCCUAGGGACAGGCCUGGGGCUCCUUUCUGCCCUCAAGGAGGGAGUGUCCAGAAGGUGGCAUUAGACCAGUGAGGGCUGGGCGCGGCGGCUCACGCCUAUAAUCCCAGCAGUUUGGGAGGCCAACGCUGGCGGAUCACCUGAGGUUGGGAGUUCAAGAUCAGCCUGACCAACAUGGAGAAACCCCAUCUCUACUAAAAAUACAAAAAAAUUAGCCCGGCGUGGUGGUGCAUGCCUGUAAUCCCAGCUACUUGGGAGGCUGAGGCAGGAGAAUCACCUGAACUGAGGCAGCAAAGGUUGCAGUGAGCCGAGAUCGCAUCAUUGCACUCCAGCCUGGGCAACAAGAGCGAAACUCCAUCUUAAAAAAAAUAAAAAAUAAAAAAGACCAAUGAGACGGCCGAGGCCCUGCGGAUGUGCAGAGUGGUCUGAGGUGGCGGGAGGGGCUCUGUGUUAAGGAGGGGUAGCAGGUGGGGAACCAGAACUUAACAUGGGAUGAGAGGCGCAGGCUGGUGUGCUGGGGCUGGGGGAGGUGUCACGGCCCAUCUUUGGCUUAACAGCUUGGCCCUUGGCCUCUUUCCUUGCGGUCUAUCCAGGGUCCCCUUUGUAUAGGUUGCAUGAUCCCGUUUCCGCCAUGAGCCCUCUAUGACUAUGACGACUGUGGUCACCGCAGUGUGCCACGUGUGUGUGCAUGCACACUAAUGGUCCUGCUUCAGGGUGCCACUGCCACACCUGGGCACGACUACACACACACACCUAUCCAGGCAGCCCCCUCAAAGAUGUGGACAAUGGGCCUGGAAGGACACCUGGGCAUGGGGGUGGACGACUCCAGAGCUGGUGACACAGGUAAAGGAAUCCUGCGGCAGUGGUCCUCUCCAUCCCUGCAGCAAUUCAGCUGCCUUGCUUCAACACUCUGGCAAGAACUUGGAUUUCAAACUAGUGAAAGAGCUAGGGCAAAGGAUUGGGACUCCCCCGUAUGGCUACUCAUUCCGUUCACUCACAGAAACCAUCACCACAGUGAACCUCACGUUGCUGCUGCUCUGCCCAGGCUCCCCCA
ensembl:lncRNA